rnacentral:rRNA from 1 species
GAUGAACGCUGGCGGCGUGCCUAAUACAUGCAAGUCGAGCGAACGGACGAGAAGCUUGCUUCUCUGAUGUUAGCGGCGGACGGGUGAGUAACACGUGGAUAACCUACCUAUAAGACUGGGAUAACUUCGGGAAACCGGAGCUAAUACCGGAUAAUAUUUUGAACCGCAUGGUUCAAAAGUGAAAGACGGUCUUGCUGUCACUUAUAGAUGCUUCCGCGCUGCAUUAGCUAGUUGGUACGGUAACGGCUUACCAAGGCAACGAUGCAUAGCCGACCUGAGAGGGUGAUCGGCCACACUGGAACUGAGACACGGUCCAGACUCCUAAGGGAGGCAGCAGUAGGGAAUCUUCCGCAAUGGGCGAAAGCCUGACGGAGCAACGCCGCGUGAGUGAUGAAGGUCUUCGGAUCGUAAAACUCUGUUAUUAGGGAAGAACAUAUGUGUAAGUAACUGUGCACAUCUUGACGGUACCUAAUCAGAAAGCCACGGCUAACUACGUG